GAAAAGCACCCCGGGAGGGGAGUGAAAUAGAACCUGAAACCGUGUGCCUACAACAAGUUCGAGCCCGUUAAUGGGUGAGAGCGUGCCUUUUGUAGAAUGAACCGGCGAGUUACGAUAUGAUGCGAGGUUAAGUUGAAGAGACGGAGCCGUAGGGAAACCGAGUCUUAAUAGGGCGCAUUAGUAUCAUGUCGUAGACCCGAAACCAUGUGACCUACCCAUGAGCAGGUUGAAGGUGAGGUAAAACUCACUGGAGGACCGAACCAGGGCACGUUGAAAAGUGCUUGGAUGACUUGUGGGUAGCGGAGAAAUUCCAAACGAACUUGGAGAUAGCUGGUUCUCUCCGAAAUAGCUUUAGGGCUAGCGUCGACAUUGAGAUUCUUGGAGGUAGAGCACUGUUUGGGUGAGGGGUCCAUCCCGGAUUACCAAUCUCAGAUAAACUCCGAAUGCCAAUGAAUUAUGGUCGGCAGUCAGACUGCGAGUGCUAAGAUCCGUAGUCGAAAGGGAAACAGCCCAGACCACCAGCUAAGGUCCCAAAAUAAUUGUUAAGUGGAAAAGGAUGUGGGGUUGCACAGACAACUAGGAUGUUAGCUUAGAAGCAGCUAUUCAUUCAAAGAGUGCGUAAUAGCUCACUAGUCGAGUGACCCUGCGCCGAAAAUGUACCGGGGCUAAAACAAUUUACCGAAGCUGUGGAUACCUUUAUAGGUAUGGUAGGAGAGCGUUCUAUGUGUGGAGAAGGUGUACCGUGAGGAGCGCUGGAACGCAUAGAAGUGAGAAUGCCGGUAUGAGUAGCGAAAGACAGGUGAGAAUCCUGUCCACCGUAAGACUAAGGUUUCCAGGGGAAGGCUCGUCCGCCCUGGGUUAGUCGGGACCUAAGGAGAGACCGAAAGGUGUAUCCGAUGGACAACAGGUUGAUAUUCCUGUACUAGAGUAUGUAGUGAAGGAGGGACGCAGUAGGCUAACUAAAGCGUGCGACUGGAAGUGCACGUCUAAGCAGUGAGGUGUGAAUUGAGUUAAAUGCUUAAUUCUAUAACAUUGAGCUGUGAUGGGGAGCGAAGUUUAGUAGCGAAGUUAGUGACGUCACACUGCCAAGAAAAGCUUCUAGCGUUAAUCAUACUCUACCCGUACCGCAAACCGACACAGGUAGUCGAGGCGAGUAGCCUCAGGUGAGCGAGAGAACUCUCGUUAAGGAACUCGGCAAAAUGACCCCGUAACUUCGGGAGAAGGGGUGCUGGCUUUCAGUCAGCCGCAGUGAAUAGGCCCAAGCAACUGUUUAUCAAAAACACAGCUCUCUGCUAAAUCGUAAGAUGAUGUAUAGGGGGUGACGCCUGCCCGGUGCUGGAAGGUUAAGAGGAGUGCUUAGCGUAAGCGAAGGUAUGAAUUGAAGCCCCAGUAAACGGCGGCCGUAACUAUAACGGUCCUAAGGUAGCGAAAUUCCUUGUCGGGUAAGUUCCGACCCGCACGAAAGGCGUAAUGAUUUGGGCACUGUCUCAACGAGAGACUCGGUGAAAUUUUAGUACCUGUGAAGAUGCAGGUUACCCGCGACAGGACGGAAAGACCCCAUGGAGCUUUACUGCAGUUUGAUAUUGAGUAUCUGUACCACAUGUACAGGAUAGGUGGGAGCCUAUGACCUCGGGACGCCAGUUUCGAGUGAGGCGUUGUUGGGAUACCACCCUUGUGUU
rnacentral:rRNA from 1 species